GACUUAGUGGCGGAAUGUAUCGCGACUGCAAUCGAUGGGUGGAGUUGGAUCAUUGAACUUGAUCACGGGAGGCCCUGGUUCGAAUCCAGGCUAGGUCG